rnacentral:rRNA from 1 species
UACAGAGGUCUCAAGCGUUGUUCGGAUUCAUUGGGCGUAAAGGGCUCGUAGGCGGCCAACUAAGUCAGACGUGAAAUCCCUCGGCUUAACCGGGGAACUGCGUCUGAUACUGGAUGGCUUGAGUUUGGGAGAGGGAUGCGGAAUUCCAGGUGUAGCGGUGAAAUGCGUAGAUAUCUGGAGGAACACCGGUGGCGAAGGCGGCAUCCUGGACCAACACUGACGCUGAGUGAGCGAAAGCCAGGGGAGCAAACGGG